rnacentral:rRNA from 1 species
GCCUAACACAUGCAAGUCGAACGAAGCGAUUUAACGGAAGUUUUCGGAUGGAAGUUGAAUGGAGUGAGUGGCGGACGGGUGAGUAACGCGUGGGUAACCUGCCUUGUACUGGGGGACAACAGUUAGAAAUGACUGCUAAUACCGCAUAAGCGCACAGUAUCGCAUGAUACGGUGUGAAAAACUCCGGUGGUACAAGAUGGACCCGCGUCUGAUUAGCUAGUUGGUAAGGUAACGGCUUACCAAGGCGACGAUCAGUAGCCGACCUGAGAGGGUGACCGGCCACAUUGGGACUGAGACACGGCCCAAACUCCUACGGGAGGCAGCAGUGGGGAAUAUUGCACAAUGGGCGAAAGCCUGAUGCAGCGACGCCGCGUGAGUGAAGAAGUAUUUCGGUAUGUAAAGCUCUAUCAGCAGGGAAGAAAAUGACGGUACCUGACUAAGAAGCCCCGGCUAACUACGUGCCAGCAGCCGCGGUAAUACGUAGGGGGCAAGCGUUAUCCGGAUUUACUGGGUGUAAAGGGAGCGUAGACGGUAAAGCAAGUCUGAAGUGAAAGCCCGCGGCUCAACUGCGGGACUGCUUUGGAAACUGUUUAACUGGAGUGUCGGAGAGGUAAGUGGAAUUCCUAGUGUAGCGGUGAAAUGCGUAGAUAUUAGGAGGACACCAGUGGCGAAGGCGACUUACUGGACG